rnacentral:rRNA from 1 species
UAGAGAUUAGGAGGGAACACCAGUGGCGAAGGCGACUUUCUGGACUGUAUCUGACGCUGAGGCACGAAAGCGUGGGUAGCAAACAGGAUUAGAUACCCUGGUAGUNCACGCCGUAAACGAUGGAUACUAGGUGUAGGAGGUAUCGACCCCUUCUGUGCCGGAGUUAACGCAAUAAGUAUCCCGCCUGGGGGGUACGGUCGCAAGAUUAAAACUCAAAGGAAUUGACGGGGGCCCGCACAAGCAGCGGAGCAUGUGGUUUAAUUCGAAGCAACGCGAAGAACCUUACCAGGACUUGACAUCCCGAUGACCGGUAUAGAGAUAUACCUUUUCUUCGGAACAUCGGUGACAGGUGGUGCAUGGUUGUCGUCAGCUCGUGUCGUGAGAUGUUGGGUUAAGUCCCACAACGAGCGCAACCCUUAUCUUUAGUUGCCAGCACGUAAUGGUGGGAACUCUAAAGAGACCGCCGGGGAUAACUCGGAGGAAGGUGGGGACGACGUCAAAUCAUCAUGCCCCUUAUGUCCUGGCUACACACGUGCUACAAUGGCCUGAAACAAAGGGAAGCGAAGUCGCAAGAUGGAGCCAAUCCCGUAAAUCAGGUCCCAGUUCGGAUUGUGGGCUGCAACCCGCCCACAUGAAGUCGGAGUUGCUAGUAAUCGCGAAUCAGAAUGUCGCGGUGAAUACGUUCCCGGGCCUUGUACACACCGCCCGUCACACCAUGGAAGUUGGGGGUACCCGAAGCCAGUGACCAAACCGCAAGGAUGGAGCUGUCGAAGGUGAACUUAAUGACUGGGGUGAAGUCGUAACCAAGGUAACCGUAAAGGGCGAAUCGUAACUCGC